CCAGGAGUCCAAGUCAAGUCUUCAGUCUCUGGCCAUCUGAUCUGGCCCUAACACUGUAAUGUUAAAUGUUAUGAAUUGAAAGCAUGUCCUGUAGCUACCAUCCAUACAGUGCAGUAUCAACAUCAGUUGUGGGAUAACUUUAUGAGGUCUACUUAACACAUCCCUCUAGCCCUCGGACCUGGUGAAAUAUUAACCUAAGUUUGUCACAUCAUAUGGAUCCAACUAUAAAUAUACAAUGUGCCUGU